rnacentral:lncRNA from 1 species
AAGAAGGCGCAAACGGCGGUUACUGACAGGCUAGGCGAGCGCUCGGGGGCUCAAGCUGCCCGGAGACUGGGGGGGCUUCCCGCUGUGGCUCGGUCCUCCCGGACUAGUGACGAGGGGGAGGACGGGCUGGCGCGAGACUCUUCUGCCUGGAGACUAGCCGCGGGGGGAGGGGAGCGGCGGCAGCGGGGCGUGCUGUCACUUGGCGGGGCGCACACUCUUCUGCUCCAUUGGAAGUCUCUGGGCAGAGUUACUCCUCACAAACCUCUUCACCUUGCUGCGUUCGCCCUCCCCUACCCGGUGUUAAAUCAUCAGAUACAGCAAAGGUCGCCAAACCCACUUGCAGGACUCUUUCUGUCCAGACAAGGUGACCAUCGUCCCCCACAACUCCCUGAGGGUGACUGAACCUUGAGUAUUUCUUGGGGAGUCAUUUUGCCGCGCUACUCUGCUUCGCACUGAAGGACUUUUGAACCCAUAGUAACGCUCAAGUAAAUAGUGAGGCAUCUCAUCAAGCCCUCCAGUUCUAGGACUCAAACCAGAAAAAUUAAAAUAAAAUAGAAUUUUAUUUUUUGG